CUGGAGGCUCUGGAAAGCUACCAUCAGGUCAGAGGAUUUGCUAAGAUGAUCAAACUCUGGGUGGCACUGGGGCUUCUUUGGAAAUCGUAAUUAGAGUCAAUGAGCAGGAGUGUUGUACAGCAGCCUGUGUCUGUCCCAGUCCAUCCAGGAGAUGAUGUGACUCUGCAGUGUAUAACACACACAGAGACCUGUGCAGGAGGGCACAAUAUUUAUUGGUUUAGACGUGGCUCAGGAGAAUCCCUUCCAGGCAUAAUUUACACACAUAGAAACUGGAGUAACAAGUGUAAUGGGAGUUUUGAUGCUGGAUCUCCUACACAGAGUUGUGUCUAUAACCUCCCUAAGAGGAACCUCAGCUCCUCUGAUGCUGGGACUUACUACUGUGCUGUGGCCAUAUGUGGAGAGAUCCUGUUUGGGAACGGUACACUCCUGGAGAUUACAGGUGAGCUUGAUCCUGUUGUUCUGGUUUUGGGGACGACAAAUGCGGUGUGUGUGAUUGUCAUUGCUGUCCUCAUCUGCACCAGAAACACACAUUGUGCAGGAAACGUAAAAGGCACCACUAAAUCCAUACAUGUCCAGAAUGAGGACACAGAUAUGCUGAAUUAUGCUGCCCUGAGCUUCACUCAAACCAAAACCAAGACAAGAAGAAAAAGCAGAGAGAUGGACAGUCUAGCUGUAUACUCACAAGUCAAAAGAGUGACUGAAGAAUGAUGUCAGGCAUCAAACCCAAGAAUGAACAUUCCAAACAUUUUGACAGUUUUAAAGACUUCUUCUAAUGAAAAAAGUCUUCUGAAAAAUGAUUUCACAUGCUUUCAUUCAAACCGUUUUUCUAUAUCUCAACAUGCUACUAAAAGAGAUACAGUAAGAGAUAAUCUCUUGCAGUAAAUGCCCAUCCAUCUACAUUGGAGAAACAGGAAGGAGAC